rnacentral:rRNA from 1 species
AUUGAACGCUGGCGGCAGGCCUAACACAUGCAAGUCGAACGGCAGCACAGAAGAGCUUGCUCUUUGGGUGGCGAGUGGCGGACGGGUGAGUAACACGUAGGAAUCUACCCAGUAGUGGGGGAUAACCUGGGGAAACCCAGGCUAAUACCGCAUACGCCCUGAGGGGGAAAGCGGGGGAUCUUCGGACCUCGCGCUAUUGGAUGAGCCUGCGUCGGAUUAGCUAGUUGGUGGGGUAAGGGCUCACCAAGGCGACGAUCCGUAGCUGGUCUGAGAGGAUGACCAGUCACACCGGAACUGAGACACGGUCCGGACUCCUACGGGAGGUAGCAGUGGGGAAUAUUGGACAAUGGGCGCAAGCCUGAUCCAGCCAUGCCGCGUGGGUGAAGAAGGCCUUGGUGUAAGCCUUAGUGGGGAGGAAGGCGAUUCAUGCUAAUACCAUGGAUGAUUGACGUUACC